CCGAAGACCUCGCUCGCGAACUUGUGGAUUGUGCUUCUUGGGAUUAGAAGGUUCAGCCAUGGGUGUGGCACUUCCCAGAGGCCCUGAGCCCUGAGCUUCAGCUCGGAGGAGUGCACCCUGUCCAGGAACUCCAGCAAGAAAUAAUUAAUUCACCUGUUCCAUGAUGUCGGCCUCAUCAUCGUUGAAGUUCUUGGUCAUCUCUAGGCAGUAUAGCACUCUUCCGUCCGACUGGAAGUGGCUCGCCUGGACUGGGUCCUGCGGCUUGAAGGACGUCCUCCAGUUGUUGAGAAUGCCCGUCCUGUUGAUGGUCACGAACCCUUCGAUGUAGUCGAAUGUCUUCUCCGCCGAGAUCAGCGCCUCCUGGUCCUCGGUGAAGCUCGCGAAGUCCGAGUAGAGAACCCGUAUCCACCUCACCUGUCAUUGUGUAUCCAGUCAGUGAAUACAGCCGAAGAAAAUGAUCUAUGUGUGCAUUCAGAAGCUGAGAGCAAUGGAAUUGGUUAUCUGGUUAACUUACCAUCUUUGGUGCAGGCUGGAGAGCAAUCCUGGCUCUGGUGAUGAUGCCGAACUGGCCCAGGCCGCCGAGAGCGCCGUAGAAGAGGUCAGAGUUCUCCUCGGGCGAGCAGGAUUGGAGUGGGCCUGACACUGCAAUCAUGUGCUUUCCAUAUCUACAAACCAAAGAGGUAUUUAUACUACAAAGAUUAGUAUUUGCAUAACGAAAUCAACAACUUUAACUUUAAUUCCGCUACCACACCAAGAGAGACUGUUCGCCCGAGUUGGGGAAGAUGUAUGGCUUUGCCAGCCAGGGCUUCACCAUUGUCCUUGGUGGGUAGGGUGUCGGGUGCGUGUAUUUAUGCAUCUACAUUGUACGUCGUGUUUCUAAGAUAUGUGGAAAGGACACAUUAAACAAGGACAUUCUAUCAGUUCUACCAAAUCAUGUAUAGAUUUUUUUUUGUGACACUGUCAAAUUAUGCAACAAUUAUGGCUAACUUCACCACAUCUCAUCUACUCCGACAAAUUGGGGCCCGGGUACUUUGCCUACUACCUAGCUGCCACGUCAUCUAACAUGUCGGGUACAACUUCUCAAUUUAGUAAAAAAAUAGCAGAGGAUAAAGAUUUGCCACAAGGUAGCAAGUAAAGUGUAGUUAUUUUUUCUUCAAAAUGAAGUCAAAGUUGUCACUAUGUCAAAACUAGAAGGCUAGAAGGCAGCUGCGUUGAACACGUUCUUCUGAAACAUAGUUCUGAUGCGUGUGUAUGCUUGAUGGAAUGAUGGAACCGUGUGAUCACCCGUCGAAAUGUCGAAUGUAUAUGUUCACGGCCGGCCUAGCUUGCUUCGAGAACACGGCCACCGUAGGCUUCAACAAGUUGGGGCCAACCACUACACCAAGAAACGCAUGGCUGGAUCGCAACUCGUGCGCCAUCGAUCGUGUUGGCGACGACCACUUUUUGCACUUGUUGACCUUGACGGCUUCCAUUCGUGUCAAUGCCGUCCACACAAAUCACCCUCAAAAGACACGUGACCACACUUUUAUUUUUGCAUAGAUUUUUGGAUAUAUUUUUGUUUAUUUUACUGUCAGACGUCAAAAUGGUACUUUGGGACGAGAGGGUCAAAUUAUUAUAAUUGCAAUCCAAAUAGUAGCAAAGUACUUCAGCGGUAGUACAAAACGGUAGUACAAAGAUGCCCCCUCUUUCCGGAAAUAAGUGACUUGAAUAAAUAUAGAUUCGUAUGUAUCUGGUGAUGUGGAUUUAUCUAGAUUUUAAUCUAGAAAAAUCCGAGUCACUUAUUUUCCAUAGAGGAAGUAUAUUUUUAGGGCACCUCCAGCGGUCCGACGCAAACAAACCAUCUAGCCGAUCAGAAUUUGAGUAAAUCCCGAGUCUAGAGGCCCAACGCAAACUGACCGGCGUUAUAUGUAUUCCAUAUAUGAACAUCAACAAGUCCACCUGCUAAUCAACUCAGGGCAGCCAAGGACAGCGUACGCACCUCACCCGUUCACGUUCACAGCCCUCCCUCCCCUUGCAAUCCUAGAACAACGUCGCUGCUGCUCGCCAUUGGUGGCACCGUCUGUUUGGCCCGCAGGUCGACGGAGGACACUAUUAGUGCCAGCGUCGUGGAGUGCCCUUGCCGACCUUGUUGCAUCUCAUGCCCCUCCGCCAUCCACACGAAACCGUCUGCCGACAUCGAUGUCCAGAACAUGUUCGGCCAAUUGCUCGAUGCGAAAUCCUGAACUAUUUUUGGCCAUUUGCGGCGUGUAGGCAGGCCAUUGAUCCAUUAGUGCUCCCCCGCAGGUGUACCUUAAACAGUCAUUCGACUUCUUCAUCAAGGAAGUCAUCGACAGCUCGUCGGACGGCUCUUCGGAGAUAAUGGUUGGCGUGACCUCCCUCAUCCACAAUCACACUAAGAGGCAGAUGCCAGUGCAAAGGGGCUCGAUGAGGCCUCGCAGCUGCAACCUGUUCCGAGAUCGAGAAGGUGGCCACUAUGAGCCGUUUAGAACUACUUCCACCCCACCAAGGCGGUCUUCAUGGAGACCCUGUUUCGGCGGCGCUAUCGGAUGUCAAGAGACUUUUUCUUCACUAUUCUAUGGGGCGUGAGAGACUAUGACCCCUACUUCCGAUGCAAGUGCGCUCCCAUUGCUAAGCUAGGCUUCACCUUUUAUCGGAAUUGUUCCAACUAUUCGUAUGGUUUCGUACGGAGUGCCUGGUGAUCUCCUUGAUUAGUACUUGUGAAUGAGUGAGAUCACAUGCCUUGAUGCGAUGUACAAGUUCUACCGAGCUGUGAUUGCGGUGUUCGGCGAUCUUUACUUGAGAGGUCCAAUUGUUGCUGACACUGCUCGACUGUUGUCGAUCAACAAGGCAAGAUGAUUUCUGGGGAUAAUCGGAAGCAUAGAUUUCAUGCGCUGUGAGUGAAACAACUGUCCAUUUGCAUGGCAGUAGAAGUAUAGCGGGCAUGCCGAGGGGUGCACUGUUAUUCGUGAGUCAGUGGCAUCACAUGAUAUGUGGAGUUGGCACACUUUUUCUGUUGGUAUGUCCGGUUCCUACAAUGAUAUUAACGUGCUCCAUCGCUCGUCGGUAUUAUACAUACUUGUAGAAAGCAAUGCUCAUGUGGUCAGCUAUGAGAUCAAUGAAAAUGCAUAUAACAAGUCAUAUUAUAUUGUUGAUGGCAUCUAUCCGGACUGGAUCAUACUAGUGAAUAUAGUCUGUAAUCUUACAAUAGAGAAAAUAAAGAGAUUUGCCCAGACAAGAGGUUUGCGGGAAGGAUAUUAAGCAGGUAUUUGGUGUGCUGCAAGCUAGGUGGGCUAUUUUUGUCACUAUGCUAGAACAUGGAAUAUUCAGACCAUGCAUUAGGUGAUGACUACUUGUUUGACCAUGCACAAUAUGGUUGUUGAGUAAGAGCAUGAUGCCAACCUCCAUGACGAAGGAUAACAA